GUGCCAGCAGCCGCGGUAAGACAGAGGUGCCGAGCGUUAGGCGGAAUCACUGGGCUUAAAGCGUGUGUAGGCGGAGGCCUAAGUACCUUGUGAAAUCCCACGGCUCAACCGUGGAACUGCUCGGUAUACUGGUUCCCUUGAGCCACUUAGGGGCAACCGGAACAAACGGUGGAGCGGUGAAAUGCGUAGAUAUCGUUUGGAACGCCGAUGGUGAAAACAGGUUGCUGGGAGUGCGCUGACGCUGAGACACGAAAGCCAGGGGAGCAAACGGGAUUAGAUACCCCAGUAGUCC
rnacentral:rRNA from 1 species